UUUAGUCCUUAUAAUUAGUUUGAAGUCCUCUAACUGUCAUAGGUAGGUUACAAAACCACACAAAUAAUUAAAAGUUGAGAGAGAAUGGAUUUAAGUGGUCAAAGAUUAUAUGUUUAAAAAUUUAACAAAAAGAAAAAAGAAUCAUGUGUUUGACUUAAAAAUAAUUAAGGCUAAUAUUUACAAUCGAAGAGAGAGGAGGAAGGAGUGGUUAUUAAAGACAGUAAGAGAAAAUAUCUAUGAAAAUGAAAGCUUAGCAUUUAUUAUUUGACUGUCAUGUUCGAAAAUAUUAAAGAUCAAUGGGGCCAUGACAGCAAUUUCUCUGACAAUUAGACCCAACAAAGUCCUUAAACACUUGGCCAACUUUUUUGACUCUUAAUUCCUCCUCAUAUCUUCAAGUUUAGUUAAGCUGUAAUUUUCCUAUAAAUCAACCAAUAGAACUAGCACUUAAAACUAGCUCGAGUCCUCAAGAAUGGUGUCCCUGAAGAUGAUUUCCUUUGUGUUGAAGCUCCUAGUUUGCUUUGCAUUGCUUCUGAUUGCCUCGCCCAUUUCUGCAAUGGACAAUACUCCUCGUAUUCGUAAGAUGGGGAUGGAGUACAAGCUUGUUGGAAAGGCUGUGGUGGUAGCAAAACCAGUGAGACAAUUGUCUGCUGAUUCCCCAUGGGGUGGUGGUUAUCACAUCCCUUAGUUGAUGACAUUACUUUUCAACUGCUUUCAGCUGUGCCUUUUUCCUUUGUGUUUAUAGGCUUUUUGGGAGAAUCAAUCUUAAAUAAAGCUACAAAUGUAUUUGUACGACUCUUUUCAAAUACUUUGGUUUUGCCUCAAUGUUCAAGCUCUUCCUUUCUUGAUUGGGUAUCACUAAGUUUCUUUCGCUUACUUUUUAGUUUAGAGAUAUGAGGUAACUGGAUGGUUGCUUCGGCUAACACAAACUGAUAAAGACGAGUGGUAGGUAGCAAACAGUUACAGAGAUGGGUUCACUUGGCCUCCAAGUUCCAACCUCGCUUUUGUAUUCCACAUGGAAACAAAUUAAAGUUGCAUCCUUCUACAUGUGUUGAAGUGGAGAUCUAUAAUCAUCGCUGAGCCUUGUAGAAUGGGCUUGUAACCAAAGUGGGAAGCUUUAAAGUGCUUGAAGGUUGGUUCUUCUUAUUGGGUUGGGUUCUGUGGAAGACGACCACUGGCUGUUAUGGGGAAAGUUUAAGCUGCCAAGUCUCAUUCAUCUUGAGUCUUUGCUCCUGUAAAAUUAGCAGCUUUACCGAGUGAAAGAGUGAAAUCAGUCUCAUGCCAAACAUCAUAAAUCAGAUCAGAGUCACCCUAUUAAGUCAUAAGUCAGAAAAAGAGGAAGGGAAGGAGUGGAUUCUCUCUUACUGUAUGUGUAUGAGUAUGAUCAACAAUCAAGCCAUAACAGAAAUGAUAAUCAGGUCUUCCACCAAUCAUACAAAAGCAGCUUCAGUAGCCUAAUAUCAGCACAAGUGGGCGUAAGCGUUUACCUUUACCCGUUUAAUCAAUCCCUGGGAUACUAGGUCCACUCUUUAGCACACCAUAAGAUCGGAUAUAUAUUAGGGCUUUAGCCCGAGGGAGAAGGGGUCCCAGAUCGAUUGUACAGUGUUCUUGCUCUCGAGUAUGUCAACCAGUAGUUUUAGGAAAUGGGGUUAUUUCGAGUAAUAUUAUAGGCUACAAGCCAUAGAUAGCAACAUUGAUAGCGUAUAACUCGAGUAGGAAAAAUUGACAACUAGUCACAACUCCUAAAUACAUUUUGAGGCAUUUAAACCUGACUUUAUCAAGCGGUCAUACACCCAUAAAUUAUAAUAAUAAAAUAAUAAAAAACUAGAUAACAUGAAAACGAGUAGAAAGAGUUCGAAACAGAAUAUGUAGCUAUAUACUACAUGUCUUGGACAAACAUGAUCGUAAAUAUGUAACCAUAUGCAACACACCUGGAACAAGUAAUGACCGUGACAUUAGCCCUUAGAUCGGAGGGAACUGUACGAGACUGUGGAGGGCUUUACUGAGCAGCGUCACCUCUGCUCCAUUAGAUGGAAGGAUAGUGUUGACGGGUUCUUUCUAGCCCAAUAGUGCCUCGACAGUCACUUUUUAUAUAAAAGUGAGGUAAUUUUAUGAACGAAAAGAUAUCAGCGACCAGACUUCAUUGACUAAUACAAGUUGAUGCCCAUUAGCCAAAAGUCUUCUCGAUUACCUUUUUCUAUGUUUUUUACCUUGAAAGUGCAGCCCUCCCCACAUGUCUAUUGGGUUAGUUAAUAUGUAUUAAUACAUCACCAAAAUCUCUCUAAACCCAUUCAAGUUUUGAGCUUUAUUUCCUCUGCAACCAGAAAUUAAUGGCUUCCCCAAGCGCCUUUGUUCCUUGGAAGGAGGUAGUCUUCUUCGCUUUGCUUCUUCUGGCUUUCAACGUUUCCGCUAGGGAACUUGUUGGAACCAACAUUGUGGCUGCACCGUAAGUGAGAUGACAAUAGAGACGAAUGUGGGCAGGAGAUUGAUUGCAAGACAGUUGGAUACCUCUUGGGGAGGAAAUUAUUCUCCUCCUCCCCCUCGUCGUCCUCCUCCUCCGCCUCCUCCUUGUCGUUAUACUCCCCGUCCUUCUCUUCCUCGUUCUCGUCCUGGUUCCCGUCCUCUUCCUCCACGCUGAUCCUCCGAGGGAAAAAAUUUGAAUUGUUUGUGUGUUUUAUCUUUAAUUCCCUUUGUUUUAGCAUGGUUAGAUUUGGAGGAUAAGGAUAUUUACAAGUAAAGUCAUGUGAACUUUCUUUUUUCUUUAAUGGUGUUGUGUGAUUUUGGUCAAGCCACAGGCGCAAGCGCCUCUGGAGUUAAUGACUCAUAUCUUUCUAAACAAUGUUAGUUCAAUUAUGAGAGCUCAAACUUUAAUAGAGUAUUGAUAUUAUUCUAUACAGCUUUAGUUUUAAAACUCUACGAAUUUCAUA